AGAAGCUGUGUUGAUUGUGGUUCCCAGGAAAGUCUUGGACCUUGGAUUCUGGUCCUAUCUCUGGGACUAAGAGGCCCCAAGGCCCAGAGGAAUUGUCCCCUCCUUUCUCUGGCAGCCUGAAGACCCUCCCCCAGCGCCGUUUGCAAGGUGACCUACUUCUACUCCCUGCCCCCAACAGGACCCAGCAGGAGAUGGGCUCGAGAACCCCCACCCACCCUCCCCCAAGCCCAUGGCCUAGCUUCCCCAAGUUGCCUUGGACGAAGGGACCACAGCCUGAGGGGGCAGGUCCUCUGGUUCAGGCUUCCCGUCUCCCGAUUCUGCCCUAGGCCCCCACUGACCCUCAAGAAACGGGAGGAACUCGUCCUCCCCCCCCCGGCUGGCUGAGUUGGGCAGGGGCAACUGGGCCCUUUCCUUCCAGCUGCGUUGUGCACACGCACACGUGCCUGUGGAUUUGCUGUGUGCUGAUGUGUGUGCGCGGUGUUGAUACGUGGGUGUACGUGUGAGGGUUUGAGUUAUUCUCUGGGAGCUGGUCAGCCCCUAGCUGGGCUCUGGGGGGCCCUCCGAGGAAUAACCUAGCCUCUGCCUGGACCCUCAUUAACGGUUUGCCCUAUUUCUGUUCUGGAAAGACCCAGUGUGACCAAAUGGCACGUUCCCAGCCUCACUGCCCCAGGUUAUCUCCUAAGCAGGGCCAGGCCAGGUUCCCAGCGCACAGCACAAGGAUGUUAGAAUGGGCCGGCCUGCCACAGACCCACCGUCUGGAGGGGAGCGAGAGAAGCCCACACACCCUCGAGCCCGGUGGCAACGAAGGCAGGGCCGGAGGUGGGUUUCUGGUUCCACACAGCACGGCCGGCCGCUGAGGCCCCGCCAUCUCUGCUGCAACUUGGGGCUCUUGUCAGUGGCUGGGAUCCACUCGUCACUCCCUCCUACCGCCGCCCACACGCUGAUUUCCGCCCCGCUCCCCGAUACUACAAACACACGGUGGGGGUGGGAGGCGGCUGCGGAGGCUGUCUCUUGAGACCCAGAGCCCCAGGUCCCCGCCGCCACCCAGGGCCCCCUCUAGCAGAGCCAGGAGCUGUGCCCUCCUGAAUCCGGCACUGAGCCCGGAUCGCCGGGAAAGCCCAGCGCGAGACCGGGGGUGCCUGUUGUGCUGUGGAGAAGGCCAGGCCCCUGGACUCUUCCUCUCCGUGGUGGCUCCGCACCUCGGUCCCAGGCAGGGCAGCACUCAGGUGCCCCUCACCCAUCAGUCACGGCUUCAUUUCCCUGAACUUUAUUUUAUAAAACGUACGGAGU